ensembl:lncRNA
GUUCUCUCACAGCUCCCUGUGCACUCCCCGCCUGCCUUGAUGGUGAGACAGUACAAGACGCUAAGAAAACUGAAAUGUCCUCAGCUCUUUGCAGCACUGCUCAGCAACAACUAAAACAUCAAUGUUACAUCAACAUCAUUUUUCACCUAAAGCCAAAACAUAGGAUAAUACCGACCACUAUGAAGAAAAUCAACUAAUUCCCAGAUGAAAUAAGGACAUUUUUCAUGGUAAUUCCAGCGAUGAAAAGCAGAACAUCACUACAGUUUACCUACUAUGAUGGAGAAUAUUUUGGAAGCUAUCUGUUUGGUCAAGGAAAAGUGACACAGUAUUCUAAGGAAGCACUGAUGUGUUAUCUACUAAUAGCCUGCUUCUCAGAAAAUAAAACAGCAACAGCUGAACUCAAACAACCCUUCUAUUCAAGUCUGGAACACAGCCAGUGUCAGUAUCUUAAAAGUGGAAAAAGAAGAGAUAUGGAUCUAUUCGAGUGCAUUCAGAGGAGGACCACAAAAAUGAUCCAAGGAAUGGAACACCUCCCCUAUGAGGAUGGACUGGAAGAGCUGGGGCUGUUCAGCCUGGAGAGGAGAAGGCUCCAGGGAGACCUGAGAGUGACCUUUCAGUAUAUAAAAGAGGGCUGUGAGAAAGAAGGGGGUGGACUCUUUAGCAGGGUCUGUGGUGACAGGAUGAGGGAAAAUGGUUUCAAACUAGAAGAGGUAAGAUUUAGACUUUAUAUAAAGGAAAAGUUUUUUACAGUAAGGGUAGUGAGAAUACUGGAAUAUGUUGUCCAGAAAGACAGUGAAUGCUCCAUCCCUGGCAACACUCAAGGUCAGGCUGGAUGGGGCUCUGAGCUCUGGAUCGUGC